UACAGAGGUCUCAACCGUUGUUCGGAUUCAUUGGGCGUAAAGGGUGCGUAGGCGGUCUCGUAAGUCAGAUGUGAAAUCCCAGGGCUCAACCCUGGAACUGCAUUUGAUACUGCGAGGCUAGGAUACUGGAGAGGAGACUGGAAUUUACGGUGUAGCAGUGAAAUGCGUAGAUAUCGUAAGGAAGACCAGUGGCGAAGGCGAGUCUCUGGACAGUUAUCGACGCUGAGGCACGAAGGCUAGGGGAGCAAACGGG
rnacentral:rRNA from 1 species